UAGUAAGCGGAGGAAAAGAAACUAACCAGGAUUCCCUUAGUAGCUGCGAGCGAACAGGGAAGAGCCCAGCACUGAAUCCCCGAGGCCUAGCUUCGAGGGAAAUGUGGUGUUUGGGAGGGUUCAUAUACCUGAUACUGUCGCACUGCGUCCAAGUCCAUCUUGAAUGAGGCCACGGUCCCGAGAGGGUGCCAGGCCCGUAGCUGGCCGGUGCUGGUGUUGGGUGAACCUCUCCUUAGAGUCAGGUUGCUUGAGAGUGCAGCCCUAAGCGGGUGGUAAACUCCAUCUAAGGCUAAAUACAACCACGAGACCGAUAGCGAACAAGUACCGUGAGGGAAAGUUGAAAAGAACUUUGAAGAGAGAGUUCAAGAGUACGUGAAACCGCUCAGGGGUAAACGGAAAAGACCCGAAAUUUCCGAAAGGGGAGAUUCACGUCUUCUCGCUGACUCAACUCUCUGACCAACGUCGACGGUUCUAUGCCUCAUUCGAACUUGUUCGGAGCGAGUGGUGGAGCCGCCGUGGUCGGGGUUGUGGGGUCGCGGCAGACCGCACUUCUCCCCUAGUAGGACGUCGUGACCCGUCCGGUCAUGGUCUAAGAGUGUGUAUGGGAGCCUGUUCGUGCUAUUUCGGUAGUCAUGAGCAGACCUUCGCAUUUCUGGCCAUGAAUGCUCCGGUCGGUAUCAAAAGACAGUGUCGAACCGCUCCGCUGAGGGAGAAAUCCCUUUUCGAGAGCGCGAUUGGUCCUUGGCAAGGUGUCGAGUCGCGUUUGUCAAGUCGGGCCUUUGUCCGUCUGACUGCUCUCGUGCCUGUUGGUCGAGGUACUCUAUCGCCGGUUGAAAGAAAUGGCACUAGUCUACGGCGAAUCAGUUUUGGGCUCUUGUCCGACCCGUCUUGAAACACGGACCAAGGAGUUUAGCGUGUGCGCGAGUCAUUGAGUGAAAAAACUCAAAGGCGUAAUGAAAGUGAAGGGAACUUUACGUUUCUGAGGGAGGAUGAGUGUGCUCUUCACGGGGCCGCUCCGCACUCCCGGGGCGUCUCUAUCUCAUUGCGAGAGGAGGCGCACCUAGAGCGUACACGCUGAUACCCGAAAGAUGGUGAACUAUGCCUGGCCAGGACGAAGCCAGGGGAAACCCUGGUGGAGGUCCGCAGCGAUUCUGACGUGCAAAUCGAUCGUCGGAGCUGGGUUUAGGGGCGAAAGACCAAUCGAACCAUCUAGUAGCUGGUUCCCUCUGAAGUUUCCCUCAGGAUAGCUUGCGCUCGGACGAGACGAGUCUCAUCCGGUAGAGCGAAAUGAUUAGAGGCCUUGGGGUCGAAACGACCUCAAACCUAUUCUCAAACUCCAAAUAGAUGAGAACCCUGGCUUUCUUAAACUAUGAAGCCAAGGGGUUUCGGAUCAGAGUGCCAAGUGGGCCAAUUUUGGUAAGCAGAACUGGCGCUGUGGGAUGAACCAAACGCGGAGUUAAGGCGCCUCAAUCGACGCUCAUGUGAGACCAUGAAAGGCGUUGGUUGCUUAAGACAGCAGGACGGUGGCCAUGGAAGUCGGAAUCCGCUAAGGAGUGUGUAACAACUCACCUGCCGAAGCAACUAGCCCUGAAAAUGGAUGGCGCUGUAGCGUCGUGCCUAUACUCCGCCGUCAACGGCAACGCAGGCAGCUCCCUCACGGGAGCGGCGCUGUUAAGCCUUGACGAGUAAGAGGGCCGCGGCGACGUGCGCAGAAGGGUUUUGGGCGUGAGCCUGCCUGGAGCCGUCGUCGGUGCAGAUCUUGGUGGUAGUAGCAAAUACUCCAGCGAGGCCCUGGAGGACUGAUGUGGAGAAGGGUUUCUUGUGAACAGCUGUUGCACAAGAGUCAGUCGAUCCUAAGCCCUAGGAGAAAUCCGAAGCGAUGGGUUGCCGUUAAAUGUCACAAGCUUGAUGUUGGCACCAUUUGGGCGAAAGGGAAUCUGGUUCCUAUUCCAGAACCUGGCAGUGGAACCGUUCCAAAUCGGGCCCUCAUUGAGGACUCGUCAGGGCAACCUGAAAGGACCCGGAGACGCCGUCGGGAGAUUCAGGGAGAGUUGUCUCUUCUCUAUAAGCGAUCGAGUUCCCUGGAAACCUCUAGCAGGGAGAUAGGGUUUGGAUCGCGAAGAGCACCGCAGUUACGGCGGUGUCCGAAUCUUCCCCACGGACCUUGAAAAUCCGGGAGAGGGCCACGAGGAACCCCACGCCAGAUCGUACCCAUAUCCGCAGCAGGUCUCCCAGGUGAAAAGCCUCUAGUCGAUAGACUAUGGUGUGGGAGAAAGAAAAAAUACAAAAUAUAUGUGUGUUUGUUCUU
rnacentral:rRNA from 1 species